GAUGAACGCUAGCGGCAGGCCUAACACAUGCAAGUCGAGGGGCAGCAUUGGUACUUGUACCAGAUGGCGACCGGCGCACGGGUGCGUAACGCGUAUGCAACCUACCUAUUACAUAGGGAUAGCCUCUGGAAACGGAGAUUAAUACCUAAUGGUAUCUAGAUAUUGCAUGAUAUUAAGAUUAAAGAUUUAUCGGUAAUAGAUGGGCAUGCGUGACAUUAGCUAGUUGGUAAGGUAACGGCUUACCAAGGCGACGAUGUCUAGGGGAUCUGAGAGGACUACCCCCCACACUGGUACUGAGACACGGACCAGACUCCUACGGGAGGCAGCAGUGAGGAAUAUUGGUCAAUGGAGGCAACUCUGAACCAGCCAUGCCGCGUGCAGGAUGACUGCCUAUGGGUUGUAAACUGCUUUUAUAUAGGAAGAAAAUUACCUACGAGUAGGUAACUGACGGUACUAUAAGAAUAAGGACCG
rnacentral:rRNA from 1 species